ensembl:lncRNA
CUCUCGUUGUGCUUAGCCUAUUUUCUUUUUCUGCUUUAACAUUAGACGUUCAAUUUCAAUCAUGUAAAAAAUUAAUGGAUUUAAUUUAGAAUCUGAUGCAAGCUAAAUUGUUCCAAAUUAAGAGUUGAUCUUAUAAAAUUUGCUGCUCAUUAUAAGGUUGGUUUUCAUGAAAUUUUAUUUAGAGACAUCAGCUUGAACUGAAAGAACUUGAGAUGAAACAGGCUUGCCGCCUCGUUCCACCUUUUCGAGAACAAGAGGUUUUAGUGUUGCUGUCAGUGCCUGGAUUUACAUCGCAGGCUCUUUACUAUGGUUCUUACCAGGUGAAAGAAAAGAUUCUCUGGUGAUCAAAGAGCAGGCGCUGUCCGGUGUUGAUUUACCUGCGGAUGGAGUGCUGUCCAGUAAUGAACUUUUGACCUAGCCAUUAUCUUUCACUGUUCCUGACAGCGUCAAUGUCCUGUCUACACCCUGAGGGGGAGGAUGAUGUUGAUUUUCCCUCUAUAGUACUGGGGAUGGGAAGAUUGAAAAAUUCCAAGAUAACAGAAAAUGUGAUUCACAUUUUUCUCAUCUGACUGUUACUGAACAUGCUAAAGUAAUUAAAGUUACUUAGUAC